rnacentral:rRNA from 1 species
AGUGAACGCUGGCGGUAGGCCUAACACAUGCAAGUCGAACGGCAGCACAGUAAGAGCUUGCUCUUACGGGUGGCGAGUGGCGGACGGGUGAGGAAUACAUCGGAAUCUACUUUUUCGUGGGGGAUAACGUAGGGAAACUUACGCUAAUACCGCAUACGACCUACGGGUGAAAGCAGGGGAUCUUCGGACCUUGCGCGAUUGAAUGAGCCGAUGUCGGAUUAGCUAGUUGGCGGGGUAAAGGCCCACCAAGGCGACGAUCCGUAGCUGGUCUGAGAGGGUGAACCAGCAAACUGGAAAUGAGGCACGGUCCAAGACCCCAAGGGGAGGCGCAGUGGGGAAUAUUGGACAAUGGGCGCAAGCCUGAUCCAGCCCUACCGCGUGGGUGAAGAAGGCCUUCGGGUUGUAAAGCCCUUUUGUUGGGAAAGAAAAGCAGCAGGUUAAUACCCCGCUGUUCUGACGGUACCCAAAGAAUAAGCACCGGCUAACUUCGUG